GCCGCCUCUGCCUUCCCGAGCCGCGCCGACGCCCCGCGCCAUUCUCCGCAUCCGCUCUGCAACAACAAGGGGAGCCGGCCGCGCCCACGUCACCCACGCGCCCCGCGCCGUGCCCUUGACCUCUUUUGCCUGCGUGCAAGCCCGACCCUAGCCCCGCGCCAAGCCGCCCCAACCAUUCCUCGGCGUCCGCGACCCCUAUAAGAGCCGCCGCAGCCACCUCGCAAACCCUAGAAGCCCUCGGGCUCUUUUCUUUGUGCGCCGCCACCAAGGAAAGGGAGAGCCGAGAAAGGGAAGAGAAGAAGAAGCAGAUGAAGAACGGAGGGCCAAGGAGGAGAGAAGAGGAAGGAGGGCGCUGCGCUGCUACGGCCGGACCCGAGCCCGCCGCCGCUGCCGACCUCGACGUCGCCUCCGCGCCGCGGUGGAGGAGCCGUUGCUCAGGAACGCCGCCCGAACCAGCAACACUAUGGCCGUGUCCAAGGAGAAGGACGCCGCCGGACCCGACGCCGAGCGCCACCAAGCCAGCGAGGAGUACCUGCUGUCGCAACUCGGCGCCGCCGCUGGGCACGAGGAGAACGACGCCGACGCCAAGCUACCCACGGGACACCACCGGAUCGAGCAGAAGCACGCCGCCGCCCGAGCUCGUCACCACGCCGGCGCCCCCGAUCGACGACAUCGACAUUCCAGCGUAGCCUGCAUAGCACCAACACUACAUGGCUCCACCUCGCCUCUGCCUCACCCUGUUCUCCUUCGACUUGAGCCGGUCCUGACGAGAAGAAGUUGAUCGACGUUCCGAGCAACCAGCGGAUCCAGAAGGAUUACCCCGACACACGGAGGAUCCAGAAGAACGUACCGGAUGACCAGAAGAUGUCAGAGACCGAGGAAGGUUACGAAGACCUAUCAGCCUGAUAGAUGUAGGAUCAGAGUGAAGGAGUCGACAGAACGACAAAUGAAGAAGAUGUGAAGGAUGGCCCGAGCUACACUCUGAGCUGCCUGUGGAGAGGAUUCGUGAAGAUGAAGUUUGCCUAGAAAACUAGAUAUCGUUUCCGCUUUCUGUUUGUUUUUUUAGCCCAAGGGGUUUGUACUCUGAGUUUCGUAACACAAUCCUUCGGAUUAUGUAAUAAUUAAAUCCAUGCGUUGUUGUAAACGUGAGUCAUUUCUAUGAUAUUCGAUUGAAAUGAGUUCUGUAUGUGAUAGCUACUGAUCCAGGGACUAUCACGACGAUACAGAGAGUCGGGUUCACCUUUCGGGAACCCGGUCUGUUUCA